UCAACCACUUCUGCGCGCUCAAUCCAACGCACAACGCACUCCUGCCUCGUGGAAACAGUAAGUUGAAGACUGGUGGCAUUGCUAAGAUCUAAGAAUUCCAAGGCAUUGCAUUCAAACUCCUAUGAGUGGUUGUGGACUUGGAGGGAACAACUUGCUGGCCUUUGUGACACCCAGGAAACCUUUUAUGCUUAAUUGGACAGCAGCAGUAGAAAUAGAUGGGAAACACAGA